GACGAACGCUGGCGGCGUGCCUAACACAUGCAAGUCGAACGGAGAAUUAGCAAUAAUUCUUAGUGGCGAACGGGUGAGUAACGCGUAGACAACCUACCCUUUAGAUGGGGACAACACCGCGAAAGUGGUGCUAAUACCGAAUAUUGCUUGAGAAGCGCAUGCUUUUCAAACUAAAGAUGGCCUCUAUUUAUAAGCUAUCGCUAAAGAAUGGGUCUGCGUCUGAUUAGCUAGUUGGUGAGAUAAAAGCUCACCAAGGCAACGAUCAGUAGCCGGUCUGAGAGGAUGAACGGCCACGAUGGGACUGAGACACGGCCCAGACUCCUACGGGAGGCAGCAGUGGGAAAUCUUCCGAAAUGGACGAAAGUCUGACGGAGCAACGCCGCGUGAGUGAUGAAGGUUUUCGGAUCGUAAAACUCUGUUGUUAAGGACGAAUGUAUAGAUUGUGAAUAAUGGUUUAUAAUGACGGUACUUAACGAGGAAGCCACGGCUAACUACGUGCCAGCCGCCGCCGUAA
rnacentral:rRNA from 1 species